GUGGGGGAUAUUGCACAAUGGGGGGAACCCUGAUGCAGCGACGCCGCGUGAGUGAAGAAGUCAUUCGUGAUGUAAAGCUCUAUCAGCAGGGACGAAAAUGACGGUACCUGAGUAAGAAGCCCCGGCUAACUACGUGCCAGCAGCCGCGGUAAUACGUAGGGGGCAAGCGUUAUCCGGAUUUACUGGGUGUAAAGGGAGCGUAGACGGCGAAGCAAGUCUGGAGUGAAAGCCCGGGGCCCAACCCCGGGACUGCUCUGGAAACUGCGGCGCUGGAGUGCAGGAGGGGUAAGCGGAAUUCCUGGUGUAGCGGUGAAAUGCGUAGAUAUCAGGAGGAACACCAGUGGCGAAGGCGGUCUGCUGGACAGCAACUGACGCUGAGGCGCGAAAGCGUGGGGAGCAAACAGG
rnacentral:rRNA from 1 species